rnacentral:rRNA from 1 species
UACGUAGGCAGCGAGCGUUGUUCGGAAUUACUGGGCGUAAAGAGUGUGUAGGCGGCGCUCUAAGUUCGGUGUGAAAUCUCUCGGCUUAACUGGGAGGGUGCGCCGGAAACUGGAGUGCUCGAACGUGGGAGAGGAAAGCGGAAUUCCUGGCGUAGCGGUGAAAUGCGUAGAUAUCAGGAGGAACACCGGUGGCGAAGGCGGUUCUCUGGGCAUGACCUGACGCUGAGGAGCGAAAGUGUGGGGAGCGAACAGG